GGGUCGUUAGCUCAGUUGGUAGAGCAGUUGACUUUUACCCGAAGGGCGAGCGAAGCGAGUCAUCCUGCACGACCCACCA
rnacentral:tRNA from 1 species